GAUGAACGCUGGCGGCAGGCUUAAUACAUGCAAGUCGAACGGUAACAUGUCGGAGCAAUCUGAUGAUGACGAGUGGCGCACGGGUGCGUAACGCGUAUGCAAUCUACCUUGUACAGGGGAAUAGCCCAGAGAAAUUUGGAUUAAUGCCCCAUAGUAUUAUUAAAUGGCAUCCUUUAAUAAUUAAAGUUCCAACGGUACAAGAUGAGCAUGCGUCCUAUUAGUUAGUUGGUGUGGUAACGGCAUACCAAGACGAUGAUAGGUAGGGGUCCUGAGAGGGAGAUCCCCCACACUGGUACUGAGACACGGACCAGACUCCUACGGGAGGCAGCAGUGAGGAAUAUUGGACAAUGGGCGCAAGCCUGAUCCAGCCAUGCCGCGUGCAGGAAGACGGUCCUAUGGAUUGUAAACUGCUUUUAUACAGGAAGAAACACUGGUUCGUGAACCAGCUUGACGGUACUGUAAGAAUAAGGAUCGGCUAACUCCGUG
rnacentral:rRNA from 1 species